AUUGAACGCUGGCGGCAUGCCUUACACACGCAAGUCGAACGGCAGCACGGGAGCAAUCCGUGGUGGCGAGUGGCGAACGGGUGAGUAAUGUAUCGGAACGUACCUUUCAGUGGGGGAUAACGUAGCGAAAGUUACGCUAAUACCGCAUAUUCUGUGAGCAGGAAAGCAGGGGAUCGCAAGACCUUGCGCUGAUUGAGCGGCCGAUAUCAGAUUAGCUAGUUGGUGAGGUAAAGGCUCACCAAGGCGACGAUCUGUAGCGGGGUCUGAGAGGAUGAUCCGCCACACUGGAACUGAGACACGGUCCAGACUCCUACGGGAGGCAGCAGUGGGGAAUUUUUGGACAAUGGGCGCAAGCCUGAUCCAGCCAUGCCGCGUGAGUGAAGAAGGCCUUCGGGUUGUAAAGCUCUUUCAGCCGGGAAGAAAACGCAUGGGUUAAUACCCUGUGUGGAUGACGGUACCGGAAUAAGAAGCACCGGCUAACUACGUG
rnacentral:rRNA from 1 species